GACGAACGCUGGCGGCGUGCUUAACACAUGCAAGUCGAACGGAAAGGCCCUGCUUUUGUGGGGUGCUCGAGUGGCGAACGGGUGAGUAACACGUGAGUAACCUGCCCUUGACUUUGGGAUAACUUCGGGAAACUGGGGCUAAUACCGGAUAGGAGCUCCUGCUGCAUGGUGGGGGUUGGAAAGUUUCGGCGGUUGGGGAUGGACUCGCGGCCUAUCAGCUUGUUGGUGGGGUAGUGGCUUACCAAGGCUUUGACGGGUAGCCGGCCUGAGAGGGUGACCGGCCACAUUGGGACUGAGAUACGGCCCGGACUCCUACGGGAGGCAGCAGUGGGGAAUAUUGCACAAUGGGCGGAAGCCUGAUGCAGCAACGCCGCGUGCGGGAUGACGGCCUUCGGGUUGUAAACCGCUUUCGCCUGUGACGAAGCGUGAGUGACGGUAAUGGGUAAAGAAGCACCGGCUAACUACGUGCCAGCAGCCGCGGUGAUACGUAGGGUGCGAGCGUUGUCCGGAUUUAUUGGGCGUAAAGGGCUCGUAGGUGGUUGAUCGCGUCGGAAGUGUAAUCUUGGGGCUUAACCCUGAGCGUGCUUUCGAUACGGGUUGACUUGAGGAAGGUAGGGGAGAAUGGAAUUCCUGGUGGAGCGGUGGAAUGCGCAGAUAUCAGGAGGAACACCAGUGGCGAAGGCGGUUCUCUGGGCCUUUCCUGACGCUGAGGAGCGAAAGCGUGGGGAGCGAACAGGCUUAGAUACCCUGGUAGUCCACGCUGUAAACGGUGGGUACUAGGUGUGGGGUCCAUUCCACGGGUUCCGUGCCGUAGCUAACGCUUUAAGUACCCCGCCUGGGGAGUACGGCCGCAAGGCUAAAACUCAAAGGAAUUGACGGGGCCCCGCACAAGCGGCGGAGCAUGCGGAUUAAUUCGAUGCAACGCGUAGAACCUUACCUGGGUUUGACAUGGAUCGGGAGCGCUCAGAGAUGGGUGUGCCUCUUUUGGGGUCGGUUCACAGGUGGUGCAUGGCUGUCGUCAGCUCGUGUCGUGAGAUGUUGGGUUAAGUCCCGCAACGAGCGCAACCCUUGUUCACUGUUGCCAGCACGUUAUGGUGGGGACUCAGUGGAGACCGCCGGGGUCAACUCGGAGGAAGGUGGGGAUGACGUCAAGUCAUCAUGCCCCUUAUGUCCAGGGCUUCACGCAUGCUACAAUGGCUGGUACAGAGAGUGGCGAGCCUGUGAGGGUGAGCGAAUCUCGGAAAGCCGGUCUCAGUUCGGAUUGGGGUCUGCAACUCGACCUCAUGAAGUCGGAGUCGCUAGUAAUCGCAGAUCAGCAACGCUGCGGUGAAUACGUUCCCGGG
rnacentral:rRNA from 1 species